UACGGGGGGAGCAAGCGUUGUUCGGAUUUACUGGGCGUAAAGGGCGCGUAGGCGGCCACCGCAAGUCGACUGUGAAAUCUCCGGGCUUAACCCGGAAAGGUCAGCCGAUACUGCGGGGCUAGAGUGCAGAAGGGGCAACUGGAAUUCUCGGUGUAGCGGUGAAAUGCGUAGAUAUCAGGAGGAACACCGGUGGCGAAGGCGGGUCUCUGGGCCGUAACUGACGCUGAGGAGCGAAAGCGUGGGGAGCGAACAGG
rnacentral:rRNA from 1 species